AUUGGCAGUGGCGUAUUUGCCGUAUUGUUCAUAUUUGUACCAUGUUUUAUAAGAAAAGGACCUAACCAAGGGAUCAUACGAUGCAGCAUUUUGCUGUCUAUAUUCUCAAUGUGGAUAUUCUGGGCCACCGUGUAUAUCGCACAGAUGAAUCCUGUAGUCGGGCCGCGCCACCUCAACACCACACUCAUCUGGAAGAAGCAUCUGG